rnacentral:rRNA from 1 species
AGCGGUGAAAUGCGUAGAUAUUAGGAGGAACACCAGUUGCGAAGGCGGCUCUCUGGACUGUAACUGACGCUGAGGCACGAAAGCGUGGGGAGCAAACAGGAUUAGAUCCCCUGGUAGUCCACGCUGUAAACGAUGAGUACUAGGUGUCGGGGGUUACCCCCUUCGGUGCCGCAGCUAACGCAUUAAGUACUCCGCCUGGGAAGUACGCUCG